GUUCUUGAGCAUUUUUGAACAUUUUGAUGUGUGUGUUAGUGUUGUUUUGCAGUUUGGACAACUCUCGAGAAAAUACCAUUAUUGGGAGCCGGUGAUGAGCAAAAAUGAUGAUCAAUGAAAUGGAGCAUGAAUAAGCAAGUAUUGAAUAAGAUUGGAGUGGAAAAUAGGCUUGGAAAAACAAAGAGAAGAGAAGCAAAGCAGUGGCAUUGGCGCCACGGCGCCGAAAAAGGGGCGCCAAAAGAAGAAAAAGUCAGCAGGGUGCCAUGGCGCCCAAUGAAGAAAAAAGCGGCAGAGACUUGGGCGCUACGGCGCCAGACCUAGGCGCCAUGGCGCCUGUUCCCAAAACGUUAAAACACGAGUUUUUAAGUAUCUUUUUGGGCCCAAAAGUCAUACCCUAACCCUUGAG
rnacentral:lncRNA from 1 species